rnacentral:rRNA from 1 species
UACGUAGGGUCCGAGCGUUGUCCGGAAUUAUUGGGCGUAAAGGGCUCGUAGGCGGUUCGUCACGUCGGGAGUGAAAACUCGGAGCUUAACUCCGAGCCUGCUUCCGAUACGGGCAGACUAGAGGUAGGCAGGGGAGAGCGGAACUCCUGGUGUAGCGGUGAAAUGCGUAGAGAUCCGGAGGAACACCAGUGGCGAAGGCGACACGCUGGGCCGUACCUGACACUGAUGCGCGACAGCAUGGGGAGCAAACAGG